CCCGUGCAGUGUGGGUGGUGGCGUUCCGCAGGGUGCAGUCGCACAGUCGGGGCUCCCGCAUCGUCUCGGUGCGCGAACCAGUGGUGGUGUCUCGAGAAUUAUCAGACACGCUAUUAGCAGCUCCCUCUCGCGUUCAUCUCCUCAUCUGUAGCGCUCACGGACACGCCGCAUGACGCCGGCAAAGUGCGCAUCUGCGACACAGCAAAAUAUUCGUUUCGUCUACGAACAUUGUGCUGUGCAGUGAAAGAUUGGUUCUUUACUUCUAGACGCUCAACAGUUUCCAAUUCGACGGAGACAGAUACGACCGCAUGAUUCAAGGCACGAUGUCACAAUCCAUCACGGCCUGGAAGCACAAAGAAUGGGGAACAUUGUCAUCGCAGCUGCUUCUGCAAAUUCGAAACGGAAACGUCGUCUGCCUCCAGACUGAAGCGCGCAGAAGAUGACAUUAUGUACCGUUUUUUUUUUUUUUUCGUGUCUCAGCGCAACACAACUAUCGAAGCCCCGCAAAAAUAGAGGAUGUGAGAAGGCCCGGACCUGAUUGGGCCAUGCGAUGAAACUUUAAAAAAAGAUCGAUGUCGAGGAACAGCCUCUUCGAUGACCCGGCGGCGGCGAGAGAGAGAAAAAGAAGCUAUUUCGGAGUGUGUGCAACAGGCUGCAGCUUGGAAGCAACAGCAAUGGUGGGAGUGACGUCGAAGACCUGACGGAGGAGAUCUCCUGCGAGGGUUGAGGUGUAAAUGAUCGCGCGAGCGUCUCAUCAAGAAAUGGUGCACGGGACCAAAACCGGCAGUAUACUCUGGACAGGAUGUCCACAGGAACUACAGAGAAAGGUUCAUACCUGAGGGCGUCGAAAGCGAUGACGGAACGGAGGAAACGGAACAAUAACCGGACGAAGAUGCGUCUCAUAACCGAAGACAAGCUCUAAAAGCGCAGCUCAAGAAGCGAGCUUCGUGUUAAAUAUCGUUCUGUGGUUUCCAUUGUGACUUCAGGAAUUACAUGGGCGGCGAACCAUACAGCAACGACAUAAAUGUGUAACAGAAGCCAGCAGGGAAGCUGCGUCUAGCUUGUUUAUGUCUUGUAUCAUACCUUGUUUUGAUCCAGUUGCCGUCUCCUUGUCGCGUUACUCUCAAACCGUUAGUCUCCGCGCGCUCCUUAGCCUCGUUCCCAGCGACGACACAACAGGGUCGGACUGCCAAAAUCGCUCUUCCCAUUGGGACGAAUACUGGUGGCCGCCGUCUUUCAUGAGUAUGACCGACGAUAACGUAACAUUCCAUAUAGCUGGUCAUCCCGUAAACAUCUGAGUAGCGUAUCAACGUUCAAAAGAUCAAUGAAAAAGAAGAUUGCUUGCUUCCGCGUGCGACAUGCACAGUUGUUCACGUGAGGACUGCUGGACUAUGCGAUAUCUGUUCUACACGGGUUCCGGGAGAAAAUGAACCGGAACGAAAUGAACACGAAACGGACACGGGAAAAUGAAGGAACUUUGGAAACGGCAGUCCACACGAGCACAGUUCCUGUGACUACCACGGGGUGGCAGCACUAAUGGCGGCGCCCAUUCCUCGAGUCGCGUUUUUGUGUAAUACCGUGUGCCCAGAAAACGUACCCCGUGGAGGUACCCUAUAUUUGCGUCACUCUUUCGGUACGUCAUAAUUUUAUAGAGUUCAGUGAAGUUCAGUGAAAGUUCAGUGAAAGUUCAGUUAGAGUUCUACAGAGGUCCCUUAAGGGCGGUUUGCAGAUGGUACGGAUUGGAGGAGUUUAGGGUUGUCAAAGGACUGGUUUUGGUAAAUACAAAGAAAAUAAUUUAAAAAAAAAGAAAGAAAAGCAUUAGCCAAAGCAUCUUCAUAUUAUUUUUAAUCUAAUCCAGUCCAAUCAAGAGCAAAUGCACAUAUCAACAACAAGUAAACUAUUUGAGCACAAGGAAGUGACGCUGACGUAGUAUAGCCUAAAUUACUAUGACCAAUCAGAGUUGCCAAAUUUAGCCAGUAAGACUCCUGCAGCGAAACUGACUAGCAAAAGUGUGAGAUAAACAACUGGCGAGAUUAAACACCCUAAUAUGAGAAGUCUAAUAGUGAGUUUUAUAGAGAGUCUGUAGAAUUUGCAACGGACGGCUCAUAGGAGCGACAGGUUAAAAGGUUUAUAGGCAAUCAAGUAAUUUAAUUAAGGUUGGCGACUGUCAUUUUGGAAGGGAAAAAAAAACUGGCUGCAUCUUCGGGAAUUGUACCCAAAGGCGUAUAAAAUAAGGCAAUCGUUGGCCAUAUAUUUUUGGUCAGUGUCACGUGGUCCUAUAUAAAGCUAUACUGACGGGGAUCUACACAAUGGCCCUAUAUAGCGCUGUCGCUUUAACAAUCGCUGAACAGUAGAUAAGACAGAAAAAAGCGAGGUCCCUAGUGUCGUACGAAGUCAAAUCAACAGGUUUCAGUUUUAAAAUAAACGAGCAUUUAAAAAACAAAGAAUUCCACCUUGUGGAACCCACUCCACAAUACAGCUGGUGUUCUCACCUCGAAACUCACAUUAAACCUUUAUUCUACAGAGCCCCCUCAAAAAAUAAAAAAAAAAACAAUACCUACGAUUAGAGUAACUCUAGUGACCUCUGCAACAGAUUACCGAGUUAUCUCUCUUUGUCAAAAUUGCUCGAUCCAUGGCCAAAUCCGGCCCACCAACCCUCUGCCCUCAAAGCUCUUCUGGCCUUUUUGGACACCGCAGGGCUUCGCGGUCGUCAGUGUGAGGCGACCCAUUAUUACCACAGCAUUACCACCAGCAAUGGGGUGAGAGCAUCGCCCCCUGGCGAUGGGAUUCCUCAAUCAUCAUCAUAAAAUAAAGUUGUUGUUGUUACUGAUUUAAGUGUUUUACCAUUCAGUAUAGAAACGGGCGAAGAGAACACUCCCCACUCUUUCCAAAUUGCCCCCAUCAGAAAUGGAAUAACAACUUCGAAGAACCAUCAUCAUACAGACGAUUAACGUCGGUUAAAUUGUUGGGGAAGCGCGUUGUAACGUUAGACCGAUUCGGGCUUCCGAAGAUUUGUUGAAACGCUCAGGUCUCGGCACUUACAACAUACCUCACAACAAUGUUCCAUUAAUAGGAAUUGCACCUCGCUGUAGUUUUUGUAGUUUUUCGGCGGCCGCCUCACCUGCGCCUGUUCUAUUUGUAAUCAGGUUCUCGAAAGAACAACAAAAUUACCAGCGGAGGUGUGGCUCGCUAAGUGCAGGCACAGAUAGUGUGAUUGUUACAAUGACGCGUUGAUGCUAAUGACGAACCAGUACCUUUAUACUGGGUUCACUCAUUUUGUACUUUGUGCGUGUUCUGCAGAUUGUAUUUAUUAUACUUGGAUGUAAGACAUAGGGUUAGGUACCGGCUACGCGCCAGCACAUUCAAGAUGCCUUGUUCUUGUAGUUGUAGGGUUCUACUGAGACAAAUAAAUAUUGAUACUU